UACAGAGGGGGCAAGCGUUGUUCGGAAUUACUGGGCGUAAAGGGCGCGUAGGCGGCCAGUUGCGUCUGCUGUGAAAUCCCGGGGCUCAACCCCGGGCUUGCAGUGGAUACGGGCUGGCUGGAGGCAGGCAGGGGAGAACGGAAUUCCCGGUGUAGCGGUGAAAUGCGCAGAUAUCAGGAAGAACACCCGUGGCGAAGGCGGCUCUCUGGGACGGUACUGACGCUGAGACGCGAAAGCGUGGGGAGCGAACAGG
rnacentral:rRNA from 1 species